AUUAGGGUGGCAUAGCUCGGUUAUUGCUGUAGGCCUAAAACCUCCUGUCAGAAGUUCAACUCUUCUCCCUAACA
rnacentral:tRNA from 1 species